AGUUCCCACAUUAUCUUCCGUUGCGAUCUCUCAGAGACGCCGGCAGCCAGACGUCGUGUGGACCGAGAGGGAUUUGGGAUUUUCCUCUCCCUUCUAACACUAACAAGGCCCGCGUUAAAGGAACAGUGGAAGUUUGUCAAUGUGUUGUCUGAUUGCUGGGGGACCGUGGCGCCACCGCUAAUCCAUUUCAAACAGCUGACAUGAAAAGCACAGAUAGUCCAGGAGGCAAGCGCGAGGCAUCAUUAGGCGCCGCAGCUUUGAUCAACAGAUGCAGGAAGCUGCUGUACUGUACAGGGUGUAGCGGCCAUGACAGCUCAUCAACAGUCCAGAGUCCAC